CAUCGAUGGAUCAUUUCCAAUCAAUGACUAUUGAAUAAACGGAAUCCUAAAUAUUCUUGAUAACAUUGAUUCUAAUUCUUGUUUGCAUUUUCAUAUCCCGACCUGAUGAUAACUCAACAUUGACGAUCAUCGAUGGAUCAUUUCCAAUCAAUGACAAUUGAAUAAACGAUCAUCGAUGGAUCAUCCC